CAGCAGCCACGGUAAAACGUAGGUGGCAAGCGUUGUCCGGAAUUAUUGGGCGUAAAGCGCGCGCAGGUGGUUUAAUAAGUCUGAUGUGAAAGCCCACGGCUCAACCGUGGAGGGUCAUUGGAAACUGUUAAACUUGAGUGCAGGAGAGAAAAGUGGAAUUCCUAGUGUAGCGGUGAAAUGCGUAGAGAUUAGGAGGAACACCAGUGGCGAAGGCGGCUUUUUGGCCUGUAACUGACACUGAGGCGCGAAAGCGUGGGGAGCAUACAGGAUUAGAUACCCCCGUAGUCCCUGUCUCUUAUAA
rnacentral:rRNA from 1 species